AGAGUUUGAUCAUGGCUCAGAACGAACGCUGGCGGCAGGCUUAACACAUGCAAGUCGAACGGGCGUAGCAAUACGUCAGUGGCGCACGGGUGAGUAACACGUGGAUAUCUGCCUUCUGGUUCGGGAUAACCCUGGGAAACUAGGGCUAAUACCGAAUGGUUCCUACGGGAUAAAGAUUUAUCGCCAGAAGAUGAGUCCGCGUCCGAUUAGCUAGUUGGCGGGGUAAAGGCCCACCAAGGCGACGAUCGGUAGCUGGUCUGAGAGGACGAUCAGCCACACUGGGACUGAGACACGGCCCAGACUCCUACGGGAGGCAGCAGUGGGGAAUAUUGGACAAUGGGGGCAACCCUGAUCCAGCCAUGCCGCGUGAGUGAUGAAGGCCUUCGGGUUGUAAAGCUCUUUUGGCGGGGACGAUGAUGACGGUACCCGCAGAAUAAGCCCCGGCUAACUUCGUGCCAGCAGCCGCGGUAAGACGAAGGGGGCAAGCGUUGUUCGGAAUUACUGGGCGUAAAGCGAGUGUAGGUGGUUGUCAUAGUCAGGCGUGAAAGCCUUGAGCUCAACUCAAGAAAUGCGCUUGAUACUGGGCAGCUAGAGGACCGGAGAGGAUAGUGGAAUUCCCAGUGUAGUGGUGAAAUACGUAGAGAUUGGGAAGAACACCAGUGGCGAAGGCGGCUAUCUGGACGGUUUCUGGCACUAAGACUCGAAAGCGUGGGGAGCAAACAGGAUUAGAUACCCUAGUAGUCC
rnacentral:rRNA from 1 species